rnacentral:rRNA from 1 species
UGGCGAACGGGUGGGUAACACGUGGGUAAUCUGCCCUGCACUCUGGGAUAAGCCUGGGAAACUGGGUCUAAUACUGGAUAUGACCUUUCUCCUUAUGGGGUUUGGUGGAAAGUUUUUCGGUGUAGGAUGAGCCCGCGGCCUAUCAGCUUGUUGGUGGGGUGAUGGCCUACCAAGGCGACGACGGGUAGCCGGCCUGAGAGGGUGAUCGGCCACAUUGGGACUGAGAUACGGCCCAG